rnacentral:rRNA from 1 species
GAUGAACGCUGGCGGCGUGCCUAAUACAUGCAAGUCGAACGGACAGGCGAUGAUCUUGCUGCGCGCUCGUGAGGCGCACGGGUGAGAAUAACGCGUGUAUCAUGUACCUGUCAUUGGGAUAUAACUUGGAAAAUGCGGCUCUAAUAGGAUAGGAGCUAUUGAAGCGCGGUGGGGGAUGGUAAGAUUCGGUGGUUGGGGAUGGACUAGCGGCUUAUCAGCUUGAUGGUGGAGUAGUGGCUUACCAAGGCUGUGACGGGUAGCCGGCCUGAGAGGCUGACCGGCCACAUUGGGACUGAGAGACGGCCCAGACUCCUACGGGAGGCAGCAGUGGGGAAUAUUGCACAAUGGGCGGAAGCCUGAUGCAGCAACGCCGCGUGCGUGAUGACGGCCUUCUGGUUGUAAACCGCUUUCGCCUGUGACGAAGCGUGAGUGACGGUAAUGGGUAAAGAAGCAGCGGCUAACUACGUG